rnacentral:rRNA from 1 species
GGAUCCAGACUUUGAUCAUGGCUCAGGAUGAACGCUAGCUACAGGCUUAACACAUGCAAGUCGAGGGGCAUCAGUUUGGUUUGCUUGCAAACCAAAGCUGGCGACCGGCGCACGGGUGAGUAACACGUAUCCAACCUGCCUCAUACUCGGGGAUAGCCUUUCGAAAGAAAGAUUAAUAUCCGAUAGCAUAUAUUUCCCGCAUGGGUUUUAUAUUAAAGAAAUUCGGUAUGAGAUGGGGAUGCGUUCCAUUAGUUUGUUGGGGGGGUAACGGCCCACCAAGACUACGAUGGAUAGGGGUUCUGAGAGGAAGGUCCCCCACAUUGGAACUGAGACACGGUCCAAACUCCUACGGGAGGCAGCAGUGAGGAAUAUUGGUCAAUGGACGCGAGUCUGAACCAGCCAAGUAGCGUGAAGGAUGACUGCCCUAUGGGUUGUAAACUUCUUUUAUAUGGGAAUAAAGUUGUCCACGUGUGGAUUUUUGUAUGUACCAUAUGAAUAAGGAUCGGCUAACUCCGUGCCAGCAGCCGCGGUAAUACGGAGGAUCCGAGCGUUAUCCGGAUUUAUUGGGUUUAAAGGGAGCGUAGGCGGAUUGUUAAGUCAGUUGUGAAAGUUUGCGGCUCAACCGUAAAAUCGCAGUUGAUACUGGCAGUCUUGAGUGCAGUAGAGGUGGGCGGAAUUCGUGGUGUAGCGGUGAAAUGCUUAGAUAUCACGAAGAACUCCGAUUGCGAAGGCAGCUCACUGGAGUGUAACUGACGCUGAUGCUCGAAAGUGUGGGUAUCAAACAGGAUUAGAUACCCUGGUAGUCCACACAGUAAACGAUGAAUACUCGCUGUUUGCGAUAUACAGUAAGCGGCCAAGCGAAAGCAUUAAGUAUUCCACCUGGGGAGUACGCCGGCAACGGUGCAACUCAAAUGAAUUGACGG